AAGUGUCCCCGCACAGCGCCGCCGCUCCCCGGGACCGCCCUUGGUUGGUGAUGCAGGCACAGGGCUCCUCCAGCGGGUAGCCCGGGCUUUGGGCCUCGGGAUGCGUGGGGUUGAGCCGUGGGGCUGCUCCGUGGGGCAGGCGGGGAGACCCUUCGAGGGGACCCUGGGCACCUGUGCUCACCCGGGCGUGAGGUUUCAAAGGGCUGGGGAGUGCCUGAGCCGAGGGUCCCAGCUGAGCCCCUGCUAGCCCCCAAAGCUGGGUGGGGAUUCUGCUGAUGCCUCCUCCUCUGUCCAAAAACCUGUGCCGUUUUCCAUGAAAAAACACGUGAUGUUGGUCUGCUGACAGAAGGGGAAGACACAUAAAAAUUAACAAGCCCUUCCAAAAGCUGCCCUUGUGCAUCACCUCCUGCCGUUUUCCCUAUGCACAGAGCGCAUCCUGUGUCCUCUCACCUGUGAGACCCUCUGAAACCCCUCCCGUCAGGUGGGAGCGACAGCCAGUUCAGAGGUGCACCGUAUGGCAGCUUCUGAGAGCUGGUGCGAGUUGCAUUAAACUGGCAGGCCAGCAGGAUGGAAACCAAGAAGCAGAAACUCUUGAGUAUGACAGAGUCAAGGACGAUGUAACAGCUGUCCCAGAUGCCUCGAGUCUCAGUGGAUGGCACAAGAUGCAGUCCUCACAACAGCAUUCCGCACAAGUUACUGGAAUGUGUCCAUGAUUCAAAAAAGAAUGUGGCAAAAUGGAAGAGCGGUACAGAAAAACUGACUUGAGCCCUGGAAAUCUUGCUUUUGAGCGUACAGAACUUGAGACAAAAAGCACAGUAAGAGCUGUACCGGGCCAGGAGAGAAGAUUUGUGGAGCAGAUAUCAGGAAAGUAAUACUGCGUCCCAUUUAAUGGAGGUGGAUUCAAGGGAGGAGGAACCUCCUUCCAGCUUCUGCCUUGCAUUCUUGAGUCAAAGGACCAUUUCUCCUGGAAGCCAGAGAGCAAUCUCUGUAUGUUGAAAUCACCCUGUGGACACCCAGGCAAGACAAAUCUGAUGCUGAUUGAUCACACAGGUACUUCUUGUUUCUGCAUGUUUGAAUUAGGCCUCUCAUAAGACUGGUGGUGUGACCAGAGCCAUUCUUCAUUCCUCCACUCCAAGAGACAGCUCACAGCAAGCUCUCAGACAGGCAUUUUGGGUAUAGAGUAACUCGGAUGAGGACUGAUCACAAUGUUUCAGUUAUGUAUUUACAGACAUAUCAAGUUUGGUGCCACCAGGGGGCCCUUUAGGCAGGAAAGCUGUAGAUCUAUGUUUAAAGAACCAGGGAUUCUUCUUUCACUAGUAAAUCCAUUCAAGAGGAACAAGAAAAACAAGAUAAAGUGCACCCUCUGAGCUGAAAGAGGUGUCAGUUUGAGCUACAUUUGUUUCUGCUGCCUGUUCUCCCAGGGUGGUGCUCUUUUUCAGCACAAGCAAAGGUCUUGAAAGAAGAGAUUGGGGCUUUGCCUUUGUGUCCCAGAGAAGGACUGGGUCCUGCUGGAGGACCCCUUGGAGUCUUCAGUGAUGAGAGCAUGUACAGUGCUGAGAUGUUCUACUGCAUAGUGAUUGGCAUACUGCAGGUGUCACCACUGUACAUCAAUACCAUGACAGCAUUUUUCCUUCUUGUCUGCAGUCUGGGAUCCCAUCAGCUAUCUGUAGGGUUUUCACCUUUGGAAAUAAAAGCAAAAGUAGCAGUGGUGAAUGCUGGCAACACCUAUAGGAAUCGUGCCAAAGACGGGAGACCUUAAAUCAAGAUUUGAUCUGAAAACCCUGUAAAGCAUGGAAAGACUGAGGUUGAACAGGAUCAUCUCCCAACGAGAAACUACAUCCAACACAGCACACUGUUAGCAGUGCUCUACAAGAAGGCUUAUUUCUAUAGCUAUGAAAAUGGAUUCACUGACCCUGAAGCAGUCUGCAUUUUCUUUAGUUAUAAGCAAAACCUCAUGACUAAUUUGAACUACCAGGGUGGCUUUCCCAAACUUCUCUACUGAACCUUCUGUGAAAUUUACCUUGUGGAGAGCAGACAAAUUUCUAUCUACCAUGCUGCUGUCCUGGAAGCUCAGGGAGUUUGUUGGAGCUGUAUCCGACAGCCUCAGCUGUUUUCAAGACUGGAUCUGACAUAGCAAAAAAAUCAGAAGUACC